AUUGAACGCUGGCGGCAGGCCUAACACAUGCAAGUCGAACGAGUGGCGGACGGGUGAGUAAUGUCUGGGAAACUGCCUGAUGGAGGGGGAUAACUACUGGAAACGGUAGCUAAUACCGCAUACUAUCAUAUGUGCCCCGAUGGGAUUAGCUAGUAGGCUGGGUAAAGGCUCACCUAGGCUACGAUCCCUAGCUGGUCUGAGAGGAUGACCAGCCAAACUGGAAAUGAGACACGGGCCAGAGUCCUACGGGCGGCAGCAGUGGGGAAUAUUGCACAAUGGGGGCAAGCCUGAUGCCGCCAUGCCGCGUGUGUGAAGAAGGCCUUCGGGUUGUAAAGCACUUUCAGCGGGGAGGCGUUACCCGCAGAAGAAGCACCGGCUAACUCCGUGCCAGCAGCCGCGGUAAUAC
rnacentral:rRNA from 1 species